GGAGUCCUACGUGUGGAAGAUGUAUCAGGAGCGCUGCUGGGACUUUUUCCCAGCUGGAGAUUGCUUCCGCAAACAGUACGAAGAUCAGCUUGGAUAGAGCAGAUGCAUCCUCCUUACCUCUAUCUACGUGGCCUGCUGGAGCAUGUAGUCCCACCUACAACUGCUGGAAUACGACACACACUCCCACACUGGUUUGGACUGGUGUGAGGAGAGGCAAAUGAAAAUGAUGUACCCUGUAACUGUCAGUACAGCACCCGUCUAUGAGGAAAUGACCUACAACUUGCCCAGACAUUUAGGUUUUCUUUUGGUUUGGGGGACUCGUUUUUGACAGCGUGUUGCCUUUUACUCCACAUAACCCCAAAUCAUUGCACAAUUUUUGUUUUCUUUUGGUCUUUUUGAGAAAUAUUGGGUUGUGUGGGGUUAUGGGGACAAUGUGUGAGUCAUAUUAUGCACAAUAUAUGAAUGUUGAACUUGAGACUUAAUGCCAAAAGAAAAGCAGUGGAGUAUAGUAGAUAUACAUAGUGCGCAAAAAUGUGAUUUAAGAAAAGAUUUUUUUUCGUCAGAUGUUGUAACAUUUAUCUAUCGAGAUGGAAUCUGUAGGAUGACGUGACAAAAGGUUUAUUGUGUAGGAUUUAUUUUUAAAAAUGCCUAAAGUUCUUCAUGAAGUGCCUUACAGUACUGUAUCUACAUUACAAUGAAGCUAUGCAAAACUUUUGUUUCUUUUCUUUAUUGUAUGUAAGUACAGUAGUUUUCCUGGAGCAGUAACAAGUAGCUGUCCAGAUAUGUAGUUUGUGGCUGAACACUUUCAUUUGAACGUGGAAGAAGAGCAUUGGGACGAUUUCUUUUGUUGCUGAAUGCAGCGUAACUGCAAAUGUUCAAGAUACAGUGUAUACAUGACACAACAGAAUUUCCUGAAGACUUUCAAACAAGAACAGAAAAAAAAUGAAUUGCUAUUGUAUGGCCAUUUGUAUGUAAUAGCUUUGCUGAUCUGUGCAUUUCUUUUGAUGGAAAAAAAAUAAAGAAAUUGAUGCAAGAAA
ensembl:lncRNA